UGGAAAUGCUCAAAAAUGCUUUCAAAACUCUUAAAAGUCAUUUUUGAUGUAAAUAUUCCUAAAUGUACCACCCAUUUUCCUUCUUUCUUAAAUGGGGCCUGGCUCUCAGAUUUAGCUGCAUAUUGGAAUCACCUGGGGAGUUUUAGGAACUACUGAGGCCCCGGUCUUACCGCCAGCAGGCCUGAUGGAUGGUCCCAGGCGUGGCUGGGGCAUCUGGAGUUUUAAAUGCGCCCAGGUGGUUGGGGUGGGUGGCGAGGUGGGGGACAUUUACCUUUUCACUCCUGAGGCUACCUGGUGUUCAGAGCUUACAUACCCUGCCUGAUGACAGACCCCAGGAGAUGGUGGUCCCCUGUUACAAGACAAUGACCACAUGUACAGGUUGAGAGGAGGGGACAGGUCCUUAAGGAUUCAGGAACGGAUGCUGUGCCAUGUCUGCCAUUGAGUGCGCCCACUCAGCAAGCCUCCACGUCUGAGGCUUUUGACACUAAAGAACCGUCCAAUGAGAAAUCAGAAGACUGAAUAUGUGUGGCAAGUAAAUGCUAGUUCACACAUUGGAAAGUCAAAUGAUCUUUUUAUAACUGGACAUCAGGUGAAGCUGGAAGCAUUGAUGAGAUGGUAGCGUGAGACAGCAGAGGCCUUUCUAGUGCCUGUUUUUGCCCUAGGGAAGUUUACAGCAUGAAAAAAAAAAAAAAAAGAGGUAUCUCCGGCUGAUAUCCCAAGUGAGUGGUUAAGUGUCAGUCUACAAAUAUACCCAAAAAGACUCUCCUGAAUUCCAUGAUCUCAGUGAAGCACUCACUGUUCCAUUACAGCAGGAAAAGACCCUCUCACUUUAGGGGUAACCCUGACCUGCUGUAUUGCAGUAAAAAAAAAAAAAAGAUAAAUUGGCAUGGUGGACUAGUACUGUAUCAUAAAUACGGCGUGUCUUCAGUUACAGGAUGCUCUGUUUGAAUUAUAUACAUUUUAGAAAACUUAUGUACAGAUAAAUAAUUUAAAAUUGAUUGCAAGUGAUAUUUGUGGUCUUUAUAGAGUUGGCCAUGAUGUCAAAAAUAGAACAUUAAGUCUGUGGGAAACUGGGAUUCAUUUUCAUCCUCAGAGUAGCGUCCAAUAGCUUUGCCAAUGCACUGAGACACUGGCAGGUGUCUGCAGUCUCCUGCGGUUUGGGGCUGCAAACUGUGGCGGGGGCAAUGUUGUAGAGAGGGCUGCUCCUGGACCCACCGCGAGAGACCUUAGAUUAAAGAAAGGUGAGCCCCGCUGGGGUCCCCAAACAAAGGUCAUCUUUCUUUAUGGUCAAUCAUACUAGCAUUUAAAGGGGGGAAGGAGAACACAUAUAUUGCAUAUUCACUAUGACUGAAAAAAGAAUUAAUUUUGCACAAAUGACAUUCAAAUAUGUCACCUCAGGCACUUCAAAACAGAGUGAUUACCCUCUAAGAUUUUAGUGUCUCUUCAGCAAAGCACCAAAUUGCUUAAAUUUGGUCCCAUAAGAAUUAUAGUCCAAUUUCAGCUCACAAUGUGCCCUGAUUCUAAGACUGUCCUAGAAUGGAGGAAGCAAUUGUCGUCAAGACUGGCCUUCUCACCUGCCUCCCUUGGUGACAAGGGGCGGUGGCAUGGCCUUCAGGGCAGGCGGAGGGAGGAAAGGCAGCUUCUCCCGGGGUGUGUCUCCUCCUGAGGGAGUCUUCUUCCUCCACGCCUUCCUGAUUCUGCUUUAGGGACUCAGGAAGUUGACAGGCAGAGGACUUCUGGCUUAAAUAUUGGAAAAAGCAGCCGAGGAGGUUCUGCCUGUAAAUAGUGUCUGUAAGACAGUGAGUGGCCAGGAAGCCCAGUUCUCAGGCCACCGGGGCAGUGUCUGCCCUCUUGAGGUGGCGCGUGAUGAAAGUCCCCAGGGCCCCCAGGGGGAUGCACAUGGUGGAGGAGGCCACGAGCAGCCCAAUGACAGCCAGUGCAUAGGUGGGGUAAUCUUUGGUCACAAGCUGGCCCUGGAAGGAGAGACUGAGCGUCAGCAGAAGAAACCUCUGAGAGCGCUGUCCCCACAAGCCUCAGGCCUCAGGCCCCCAGGCGUGGUGGACAGGCGCUGGGGGGGUGGGCAGUGGGGGGGGGCAGGUAUCCUUACCCCUGGGGCCACCUGGCUCUGCAGCUCAGGAGCAAGUAUGCGGGGAUGGAGGGAGGGAAGGGCCAACUCCCCACACUCUCCUUCUCUCCCAUAAGCAAGGACUGACAGUGCCCGCCCAACCAGUGUGUGUGUAGCUGUGGUUCGGGGCAACCCAUGAAGAGUGGCCACAGGAAUAGCCAAGGGCCUUAUGCUUGAGGCACCUUUCAGGGCACCUAAAUGCAGGGGCUACCCUUAGCCCAGAAUGGAAACUUCUGUGAAGGUGGAAAUGUUCUGCAUCAGGGCUGUGGCCGCUCAGGGCACUCUCAUUAGGCAGGAACUAGUGAUUCGCGGGGGGGCUUAUUCCCAUCUCCCAGGGGCGAGGUCCCAGGAAGGUCUGGAGGGCACCUUACUCUCCUCCCUGCAGCACAUGCUUAAAAACUCAAAGCCCAGCUCUGCUGUCCCGGACUGAGUGUUUUUAAAAUACCUUGGUGAUGUUUCCAUGUUGUGACAAAUAACCCACCCGCACCAUGGAUAUCGUUCCCUGGUUUCAGAAAGCUAAAGGCCCGAGUGACCUUGGGGGCCCAGUGCCAGCUCUGCAGAGACAGCGGAUACCUGGGAGGCGUCCCAGGCUUGGUACUGCAGGGUGCCGGUGAGGAUGUAGUCGCUCAGGUAGAAAGCAAAGAGGCUGAUAAUCAGCAGCGGGCUCACGCCGGCCCACAUGACCUUCCAGUACCAGCUGAGAGCUCGGCCAGUCAUGGCCUUCAGGUCACUUUCAAAUCUGUUUGGAAGACAGGAAGAGUCUGAUGUACCCAUGCUGCCGCAGAUGAGGGGGCCCUGUUCACACUUCCCUCUUGGCUUAGGAAGAUUCUGUUCUGGGAACCACCGAUGUUUGAACGUGGCCACUGGGACCUUCUUGGGGGAGGGGUGCUGGGGCACCCCAGGUAAGUUGCCAUCAGAGGAGAACUUGGUGCCGGCCUUCAGGUGAGGGCUGCCAGCAUAGACCAGAAGGGUGGCCCCAGAAAUGGUGGGCACAGGUGGCAUUGGGGACGUCUGUCAGGCCAGUUCUUAGCGUCAAGGGCCCCUAGGGCAGCUUUGCUCCCCCAACACCCCACUAUCAGCGACCCUGCUGCCUACUAGAAACACCUACAGAGUAGAAUUUCUUUGUCCCCUGUAACCACAGCAGGUUUUCUGGGACAGUGGGAGGGCCAAACCUCAGACCCCUGGCCUGGGAAUGUGACAUGCCACCUGCCUGAGGGCACCAGCUAGUGGCAGAUGAAACCCAGACCCUGGAUUGGCCUCCUGCCUCCAGGCCAGAGCCUUUAAAACUGCUCUCCACGGCAGGACAGGCAGCCGUGGCAGGAGGGGCUAGGGUGUGACUGUCACCAGCUGCAGCCACAGCCACAGUCCCUGCCUCCUUGGGACCUGUUGCCUGUCCUGGGUGCCAUGCAGGGCUGCGUAGAGACCACCACCUGGUCUCUGGUGGUGCCGUAGCUGGCCUCUGGGCGCUGGGCUGUGAAGGCUUACCCAUGCAACUGAAAGCCUGGGGCUUUCAAAACUACACGGGUCAGAAAGUGUCAGGGUCCUAUUGUCCCAUCACCACCCCCUCCGCCCGCCCCGUCUCUGUUUCUUGCAGGGAAAGCUGGGAAGAGCCAGAUGCAGAAAAGCAGGCAGGACGAUGCGGCCGGUGGCCACUAGAUGGCAGUGUCCCCGAGCAAGCUGAAGGACCCCGCUGGGCCGCUCGCGCCGCAGGUGACUCCCACCCUCUCGGGGCGCUGUUUCCCCUCCACCCCCAUCGCUUCCCACCUCCCCUUUUCGAUGGACAUGUGUCCCCUCUCCAGCGACCUCCGCGGGCCCCAGGUUUCACUCCUCUCUCCCAGCCUUCUCUCUUCAUCCUGAGACACUCGCCCUCUCCGGGGACGGAUCUCUCUCCCUCUAGACUGGCAUUUCCCAGGUUACCAAGUUGUCCCCCUUUGUCAGGGGUUUUCCUGGUUUUAGUACUGCAAGUUCUACGUCCCAGGGAACCCCGCAGUGCUGGGGAAACCGGGAGAGUUGGUCACCCUGACACGGGUGUCCUCAAAUGUGAGCAGCUGGCGGAGGGUGCGGAGGGGAGGCAAGGGGAGCGGUACAGGGCCGUCCUUGACCAAGUAAAUUCUGAAAGUGCUGUCAGUUAUGACCCCGUCUUUGAGAUCCACAGCUGUCUUUGAGGCUCUGAGAAGUCCUACAGGAAAGACAUUGAUCUGGCUUUGUUUAACUUGUGCCCCCAAAUUAAUUGAUCCUGGGAGGUCCCUCGGAGCACAGGAGCCCGGCCCUUCCAGGGACACCUGCCUCCUAGAGUGUCAUCGCUCCUCCCCCCACCCCCCAAGUCAGCCUGGAGCCUCCGAAAAGACUGGGGAAGACAUGCCCCUCGCCCCCACCCCACUCCCCAGCGCUGCCCCAAGUGAGAUGAGCCACAGACGCCCUGGGCGUGGUGUUAACACCAGUACCAGCCACAGCGGGACUGGGUGGCCUGAGAUUCUGUCCUACCCAGCUCCCUGCUGCCGCUGCUCUGGGGCCACACUCGAAGUAGCUCGCUCUCCCAGCCAGUGGUUCUCAAAGUGUGGGCCCCGGACUGACCUGGGAACUGGCUAGAAAGGCAGAUUCUUGGCCCUCACCGGACCUGCCUGAUCAGAACCUCUGGGUGUGGGGCCCUGCGGCCGUGCUUUCCCAGCCCCCAGGGACUGCUGCACACCCGAAUUUGAAGGGCAGCUGUAAACCAGUGAUUCUCGCCCAGCUGCACCUCCUGUCACCCAGGGAGAACUGACACAUCCCGGGGCUUCGCUGUGCUGCACCAGGAUUCGGAACCCGACUGACUACAGGCAGAAACAGAGACAGACAAUUGCUGCUUGCAACAACAUGGGUGGACCUCACAGGUUUCGAGUGAAGACAGCAGACACAAAGAGUAUGUGCUGUAUGAUUCCAUUUAUAUGAAGUUCAGGAACAGGGAAAAAGCCAUAAAAUGUAGAAGUCAUAAUAGAGGAGACCCUGAAGGUGCAGAUGGUUUGGGAGGGGCAUGAAGGAGCUCUGUGAGCUAUGGGAUGUUCUGUCUCUUGCCCUAGGUCUGGUUACUUGGGAGGAUACAUAUGUAAAACUCACUGCGUUUCUACUUAAGAAAUGUACACUUUAUAAUUGUCAUACUUCAGUUAAACAAAAACAAAAGCAGGUUCUACCCUGGAGGGCUUUGAGUACCAGGUUGGGGAGUUGGGCCUUUUCCAAGGUUGGAAUGGCCACUUCACUUCCCUGUUACGUGGACAACAAAAGACACAGGAUGAAUCACACGGCCCGAGUCCCUGGAUUCCAAGGAGAAGGCGUGGCAGGACUGCGGUCAGGUUGCUGCAGCCCUCUGUGGCCAUGUCAACCAGCACGUGGCCCUGGAGGAAAUGCACUCCCUGCUCACCCCUCUUCCCGGCCCUCCCUGGCCCCCACCUCCUCUGCUGGCUGCCCACUGACCUGAGAUGGCCUCCUUGGGCAGGUGGCUGGAAAUGACCUUGCUGUCAGUCAGAGGGGUGAGGAUGGCCGCCGUGUUCCCCAGCAUGCUCCCAAUGCCCAGCAUCAGCAGCAUGAAAAAGUAGAGCACUGACCACAGCUGGGACACCUCCAUGUUCUUAAUGGCCUCGCUGUAGACAAUGAAAGCCAGGCCAGUGCCCUGGACGGCCUGCCCAUGGCGAGAAGAUACCAGUUACCCACACAAAGAACUUACAGUCUCCUUAAACACACCCAGUGCUAAGCAGCUUGGGUGACCUUGGAACGAGCCACAUUCUGAGGCUGGAGCUCCCAAGUGUAGACCAGCCCUUGGGCUCAGCUGGCUGGAUAGGAACAGGAGCUGCCAGGAGUUCACACAUGCAAAGUAUGUGCAGAACUUUCAGUCAGCCUGGAACACUGGGUCCCCUUCUCCUGCCCCAGCUUAUGUAAAUUCUGGAUAAAAUAUAAUAAAACAAUGUUUGGAUAA